UACAGAGGUCCCGAGCGUUGUUCGGAUUCACUGGGCGUAAAGGGUGCGUAGGUGGUGGGGUAAGUCGGAUGUGAAAUCUCGGAGCUCAACUCCGAAAUGGCAUUGGAAACUGCCCUGCUAGAGGGUCGGAGGGGGGACUGGAAUUCUCGGUGUAGCAGUGAAAUGCGUAGAUAUCGAGAGGAACACCAGUGGCGAAGGCGAGUCCCUGGACGACUCCUGACACUGAGGCACGAAAGCUAGGGGAGCAAACAGG
rnacentral:rRNA from 1 species